CUUUGCGGGAGAGAGCGGCUUUUCGAGAGCCGGCGCCGAAGGAGCAACCGCCCCGGAAACUCUCAGGCAAAUGGACCGCAAAAG
rnacentral:ncRNA from 1 species